AGACGACGCGUGGCGGCGUGCUUAACACAUGCAAGUCGAACGGGGUCCAUGAGAGCUUGCUCUCGGAAGACCUAGUGGCGAACGGGUGAGUAACACGUGAGAAACCUGCCUCGGAGUGGGGAAUAACUCGAGGAAACUCGAGCUAAUACCGCAUACCUUCAUUUGACCGCAUGGUCAGUUGAAGAAAGAUUUAUCGCUCUGAGAGGGUCUCGCGGCCUAUCAGCUUGUUGGUGGGGUAACGGCCUACCAAGGCAACGACGGGUAGCUGGAUUGAGAGAUCGACCAGCCACACUGGAACUGAGACACGGUCCAGACUCCUACGGGAGGCAGCAGUGGGGAAUCUUGCGCAAUGGGCGAAAGCCUGACGCAGCAACGCCGCGUGCGGGAUGAAGGCCUUCGUGGUUGUAAACCGCUUUCAGUAGGGACGAAAAUGACGGUACCUGCAGAAGAAGCUCCGGCUAACUACGUG
rnacentral:rRNA from 1 species